rnacentral:rRNA from 1 species
GAGAGGUAACGGCUCACCAAGGCAUCGACGGGUAGCUGGUCUGAGAGGAUGAUCAGCCACACUGGAACUGAGACACGGUCCAGACUCCUACGGGAGGCAGCAGUGGGGAAUCUUGCACAAUGGGCGAAAGCCUGAUGCAGCGAUGCCGCGUGCGGGAAGAAGGCCCUAGGGUUGUAAACCGCUUUCAGGAGGGAAGAAAAUGACGGUACCUCCAGAAGAAGGUGCGGCCAACUACGUGCCAGCAGCCGCGGUAACACGUAGGCACCAAGCGUUAUCCGGAUUUAUUGGGCGUAAAGAGCUCGUAGGCGGUUCAGUCAGUCGGGUGUGAAAACUUGAGGCUUAACCUCAAGAGGUCACUCGAUACUACUGUGACUAGAGUGCGGUAGGGGAGCGGGGAAUUCCUGGUGUAGCGGUGAAAUGCGCAGAUAUCAGGAGGAACACCAGUGGCGAAGGCGCCGCUCUGGGCCGUAACUGACGCUGAGGAGCGAAAGCAUGGGUAGCAAACAGGAUUAGAUACCCUGGUAGUCCAUGCCGUAAACGGUGGGCACUAGGUGUGGGGUCUUUCAACGGAUUCUGUGCCGAAGCUAACGCAUUAAGUG